UGACUCUGCAUUCUCGAGAGCUAGGGCUCU
rnacentral:sRNA from 1 species